GUCCUGCAGUCUUCUCGUUGUUAUAUCCACCUUUUACUGAAGCAUGAACACUAAAAACAAAACCAUACUUACUGUGCGUAAUGAGGCAAUAUCCACCUUUCCAAAGUUUUCCUGAAAGUUUCAAGGGUUUUCUCAUCUGCUCAGCUCAGCUCAACUUGAGGAAAACUUUCCCAACGUUGCCCAGGAACGCGCAGGCGCGCCGCCUCCCGACACAAUUCGGACAGAGCUUCUUGCAUUGUUUCCGCCCAGCUUUCCCAUGGGACGGACAUACAGACCAUAACAUUAACCAAUCAUUUGGUGUAAUUACCUGAUUCGAAGCAGUGGAAAUUGAAACAAAUAAAACCAACCCUCCC
ensembl:lncRNA